AUACGGAGGGUGCGAGCGUUAAUCGGAAUUACUGGGCGUAAAGGGUGCGUAGGCGGCUUGAUAAGUCGGAUGUGAAAGCCCCGGGCUUAACCUGGGAAUUGCAUUCGAUACUGUCAGGCUAGAGUAUGUCAGAGGUUGGCGGAAUUCCUGGUGUAGCGGUGAAAUGCGUAGAUAUCAGGAGGAACACCAGUGGCGAAGGCGGCUAACUGGGGCAAUACUGACGCUGAGGCACGAAAGCGCGGGGAGCAAACAGGAUUAGAAACCCUAGUAGUCC
rnacentral:rRNA from 1 species